AGAUCAUGCGGUGGCUGCUCGAUUUAUUGAAGCCAGUCUGGGAAGAGCAGGAAGCUGAUACGGCUGGAGGAGAAGGAAAAGAAACAGUGAUCAGAGGGAUGUGGAGGGACACGUAGUCUGUGGUCUUGGGUGAUGCCUGUGAAAGGCUCAUUCAACCUUCCAAGGGAUUGAGGAGACUCGUGUUGUUGGAAACCCUUAGGGAUUUUAAUAUUCCCCAAGUGACAGCAAAUGGCCUCUCUGUGUUUCUAGACUGUAUCUGGGACUCCUUCCUAUUGGCAGAAGGGCCACGAAAGAAUGACGUGAAUUUGGAGCAGAUGGUGCCUUCGUCCGUUGCUGAACUCUGCUUGCGGCCCAAAGGAAGACUUGAUACUGAAGGUGCUUUAAUGGCUUUCUGCUCAGUUUGUUGUAAAUUCUAAAUGGGGUGAUUGAAGGCUGUAACGAGCAGUGUUGUUGGACGCCUCUGGCUGCAACAUCUGGUGAAUGCCUUCACUAGCUGACAACUGUUAGUCU
rnacentral:lncRNA from 1 species